AGUGUCCUGUGGAGAAGGGUUCCAGGCACGGCCAGUCUCCUGUAUGUCCCCGCAGGGGGACCAGCUGCCAGACUCGGCCUGUUCCUCACAGCCCAAGCCCGCUGCCGUCCAGACCUGCAUUCGGAAUCACUGCCGUGUCUUCUCCUGGCACGUUGGUGCCUGGGGCCUGUGCUCCAAGAGCUGUGCGUCGGGCCACAGGAAGCGACAGGUUAUCUGCUACGACCAGGAACGGAACUACCAGGACCCAAGCAAGUGUGACCCCAGGAGGUACCCACGCGAGAUGGAAGUGUGCAACACCCAGCCCUGCUACCUGGCGCAAGUUGUUCCGAGUUUCCAAGAUCCUACUGGAUUUGAUCCAGAGGAGGAGUUUGUGACCAUUCCCUACAUUGAUUCCCUCUCUCCCUCCGAAUUGCUGCCUGUUCAAGCUGAGACAAAUCUCCUCCCGGCCUCAUCUGCUCCACAGGAGUCGGAGCUCUCAUGGUUUCAAUAUUACGUCUCUGAAUCAGAUUCCCCAUUGAACAACCCAUCGAGGACCGAGUCACAGCAGGACCUGCUGUCAAGGGUGUUGGACUGUAACACACAAACUUACGGGUGUUGCCCAGAUGGUUACGCUGCAGCCAGGGGCCCGGGUGGGGCAGGCUGCCCUCUCAUCCCCUGCUACAAAAGCAGGUACGGUUGUUGUCCAGAUGGACUGACGUCUGCGAGAGGGUUUAACCAGCUCGGGUGUCCAAGGCAUCCAACUGAUGAUCUUCUUGAUGAAGGUGAACUGAUCUCUGAUCCGAGAGUGAUGGCCCAGAGCAGUCCGCCAGAUGAGUGCAGGAGUUCCAUGUACGGCUGCUGUCGGGAUGAGGCCUCCUUGGCCCAGGGACCAAGUGGUGAAGGGUGCAGAGACGGGCCCAACCACCCAUACCCGGCCCACUGCCAGCUCCUGUUCGCCAAUGGCCCAUGUACAGACUGGACCGUCCGCUGGUUUUUCAUCCCCGAGUCUGCCGUCUGUAACCGCUUCUGGUAUGGCAGUUGUCUUGGAAAUCGGAACAACUUUGAGACGGAGGAUGAGUGUCUGCGUCAGUGCAAGAGGACUGCAUUGGAAGGUGGUCCAGAGGAACGGCCCCACUGGUGGACUCCUCACAUAGAGCGGCAGAAACAACAUGGGCAUUCAUCCAGCAGGGACCCCUCUCCCUCUGAGCGCGAGCAGCCUGUCUAUAGGUUACAGAUAGAUCGAGGGGACCCUGUGUCUGUGGAGGCCCGGCCUGGGGAAACAGCCAGUUUACUGUGCAGAGUGAAUGCCUCACCGUCUCUUCAUGUGGAGUGGCACCGAAAUGGGAGGCCAGUGUAUUCACCGAGGCACAGCAAACUUUCCGACGACUCACUGGUGAUCAGCAAGGUUCAGCAGCAAGACGCUGGGUUGUAUACCUGUCAAGCAUCGAACGGACGGGACCAAGAUGUUCGCCAAGUUGAGCUAAAGGUCCAAGGUGAACUGGAGAUUACUGAGCCUCCACGGAAUUUGGAUGUGACCUUGGGAGGACGCGCCGAGCUUUCCUGUGUGGUGUCUGACAACCGAGCGCACGUGCGAUGGACCAGGAAUGGGAUCCCUGUGAGAGUGGACACUGAUCACAUCUCCAUUUCACCGGGUGGCACCUUGACCUUACACAACGCUCAGCUGAGAGACGCUGGGACCUACACCUGCAACGCCUACAGCGGAUCUCGCUCGGUCAGCGCCAGUGCAGAGCUGACAGUCACAUCUGCAGAAACAACGAUGUCUCCUACAGCCCUUGAUUCGCUGUGUGUGGACCUCCCAGAGCUGGCAAACUGUGAUCUGAUAAUGCAGGCCAACCUGUGCUCCAACCAGUACCACGCCAGUUUUUGCUGUUCAACUUGUUCCAAACAUCAGACUCACAACCGGCUGCUGCAGCAGGGAUAACGGGGCCAUGCACGGGGAGCGGUGGCUCGCAGGUGACGGGUGAAACCUCUUUCUUGGUGCAGUGACUGAUGUCCACUUUACUUGCAUUGACAUGCAAAGGCCUACCGUAGAAUCUGAUCAAGAGGUGCUACAAGUAGUUUUUGAAAAUUCAUACCACUCCUAAAUGUACAAGCAGUUGUAUUUUUAAUUAUUCAAGAAACUUGUAAGUAUAUUUGAAAACAUACUGUAUGUAAAAUUUAGAAUUAAAAGUUGAUGCACAUCUUUUACCAUGUGAUGUAGAGAAUACAUUUUAAGGAUGGGAGGUUUAUUCACCUCAACAGAUCUUCAUAUCUGCAAACAGAAUCUGUGAAGACCUUGGUAUUUUUAUAUGAGAAGUUGGGUAUAUUCACUGAAUUAUCAUUCUUCCACUAGACUCAACUGUUUGCUGACUCUAGAAGCACACUUUAAGGACAAUAUUUCUGUUAAAGUGCAUUAUGUACUGUUUAUUAACUGCUUAUUUGAUUAGCAAACUAAACGACUUAUUUUGAAUCUGUGUAUUUUUAGAUCAUGACAAAAUUCUUUGAUACAGGAAUUUUAAAAAAGAUAUCCUGCCAAGAUGGGAGUAGGUUAUGGGUAUGCAAAUUUCCUUGCAUAGCUUUGCAGUCUUUUUUAAAAAAUAAAAGUUAUACUGAGUUAUUGUUGCAAUUAGAGUUCAUUGAUCUGGGAUUUUCUUCCUCUGUGACACAAGU